CCCUCAGAUGUUCUGGGCCGCACGCGCGCUACACUGUUCGACGCAGCGAGUCUUAACCUUGACCGAAAGGUUUGGGUAAUCUUCAGCAAAGUCGAACGUGAUGGGGAUCGAUCAUUGCAAUUAUUGAUCGUGAACGAGGAAUUCCUAGUAAGUGCAAGUCAUCAGCUUGCGCUGAUUACGUCCCUGCCCUUUGUACACACCGCCCGUCGCUACUACCGAUUGAAUGGUUUAGUGAGAUCUCUGGAUUGACGCUGGCUAGGGGGCGACCCUUGGCCAGACUGUUGAGAAACUGCUCAAACUUGAUCAUUUAGAGGAAGUAAAAGUCGUAACA
rnacentral:rRNA from 1 species